UUGUGGUCAUCGCAUCCUUCCCCUAAUUUGCUUCGGACAUGGAGUUGCUGGGAAAACAAAUAAAUAAAUAAAUCGAAGCGAAAAGGUGCUGAUAAAAGCGAGACAUGUGAUUGCGGGGGACGGAAAGAGGGAGUGCGAGGCCGAUCAUUUUGCCCCUUCAAGCAUCCCCACUCUGUGUCGCCCGCCCCCUCCGUCCUCGCCUCGUCCUUCCACUCCCGGCCGAUCUCUUCCCCUCCUCUCUCACGGAUCCUCUCAAGUACGCCCCUUAUUUCCUCCCCACUUUCCUUCGAUCUUGCUGUUCCUCUCGUCCCGGUUUCCGGUUGGGCGGCCCAUCGCCCCGUCUCUCCGCGAUCUUUCUCUUUUGUUCUUUUCUUGAAUGAUUCGAGCUCGAGAAGUCGGAAUUGGAAAGCUAGCUUUUUUCAAUUAUUCAGUGUUCUGAGCACAUUCUGAAAUUGUGAAGACAUCUUGUUCCAUUGUCGUAGUAUAAAAUCUUUCAGCAUACAAUGUCUAGUUCUACAAAAUAUGCUGAUCCUGCGUUUCAGGGAGUUGGACACAAAGUAGGAACAGAAAUAUGGCGUAUUGAGAACUUUCAACCAGUGCCUAUACCAAAGUCUGAUUAUGGUAAAUUCUACUCUGGAGAUUCAUACAUAAUUUUACAGACAACUGGCAAAGGUGGCACCUACCUUUAUGACAUUCACUUCUGGAUCGGAAAAGAGUCAAGCCAAGAUGAAGCUGGGACUGCAGCAAUCAAGACUGUCGAACUUGAUGCAGUUCUUGGAGGUCGUGCAGUUCAACACAGGGAACCCCAAGGCUUCGAGUCUGACAAGUUCUUGUCAUACUUCAAACCAUGCAUUAUUCCUUUGGAAGGAGGAUUUGCCUCUGGAUUCAAGAAGCCUGAGGAGGAAAAGUUUGAAACACGACUAUACACUUGUAGAGGAAAACGGGUUGUCAGAAUGAAGCAGGUUCCAUUUGCCCGGUCAUCACUAAAUCAUGAUGAUGUGUUUAUCUUGGAUACUGAAAAGAAGAUAUAUCAGUUCAAUGGUGCUAACACAAAUAUCCAAGAAAGAGCUAAAGCUUUAGAAGUUAUACAAUAUUUGAAGGACAAGUACCAUGAAGGGACUUGUGACAUUGCGAUCAUUGAUGACGGAAAAUUACAAGCUGACUCAGAUUCUGGUGAAUUCUGGGUCCUUUUUGGUGGCUUUGCACCAAUUGGCAAAAAGGUGGUCAGUGAAGAUGACACUGUUCUAAAAACCAGUCCUGCAAAGCUUUAUGGUAUUAAUGAUGGUCAGUUGAAGUUGGAAGAAAACAACCUUUCAAAAGCAAUGUUGGAGAACAAUAAGUGCUAUUUACUGGACUGUGGGGCUGAGGUUUUCAUUUGGGUUGGCCGAGUGACGCAAGUUGAAGAGAGAAAAGCUGCCAGCAAAGCUGCUGAGGAUUUCAUCAUCGGUCAAAACAGACCAAAAACAACACGCGUCACUCAAGUUAUUCAGGGUUAUGAAACACAUUCAUUCAAGUCAAAAUUUGAAUCGUGGUCAGCUGGUACUGUGACAGGAAUGGGAAAUUCUACUGGAGAGGAGGGACAAGGAAAAGUUGCAGCUUUGCUAAUACAACAAGGCGUUGAUUUUAAGGGAAUCUUAAAAGGCUGUCCGGUAAAUGAGGAAAUUCCUCCUUUGCUUGAAGGCGGUGGAAAACUUGAGGUUUGGCGCAUUAAUGGUAGUGCCAAGAACCCACUUCCAAGGGAAGAGAUUGGUAAAUUUUACAGUGGAGAUUGUUAUAUUGUGCUUUAUACAUAUCGUUCUGGUGAGAAGAAAGAGGACUACUUAUUAACCUGUUGGAUGGGAAAGGAUAGUAUUCAGGAUGAUCAGCUGAUGGCGACUAGGCUGGCUAAUACAAUGUGGAGUUCCUUAAAAAGGAAGACCAGUGCAGGGCCGCAUUUUUCAAGGGAAAGAACCACCACAGUUCAUUGCACUAUUUCAGCCCAUGGUUGUCUUGAAGGGUGGAAUCAGCUCUGGUUAUAAAAAAAUUGUUGCAGAGAAGAACCUGAAUGAUGAAACUUACACUCCUGAUGGCAUUGCACUAAUCCAAGUAUCUGGAACAUCAGUCCACAAUAACAAAACUGUUCAAGUUGAUGCAGUUGCAACAUCAUUGAGUUCUACUGAUUGUUUUAUUUUGCAAUCCGGGAAUUCAUUAUUUACAUGGCAUGGAAGUUCAAGCACUUUUGAACAGCAACAGUGGGCUGCACGAAUUGCAGAAUUUUUAAAGCCAGAUGUAGCACUAAAGCAUGCCAAGGAGGGAACAGAAAGCUCUGCUUUUUGGUUUGCUCUUGGUGGGAAGCAAAGUUUUACAACCAAAAAGGUCACACAAGAUAUUACUAGAGAUCCUCACUUGUAUACAUUUUCAUUCAAUAAAGGAAAGCUAGAGGUGACUGAAGUUUAUAAUUAUUCUCAAGAUGAUUUGUUGACUGAAGACAUGUUGGUUCUUGAUACCCAUGCUGAAGUCUUUCUCUGGAUUGGACAGUCAGUGGAUUCCAAGGACAAGCAAAAGGCAUUUGAUAUAGGACAAAAAUACAUAGAGCUUGCAGUGUUGUUCGAAGGUUUAUCUCCAGAUGUACCACUUUUUAAAGUCACGGAGGGUAAUGAACCUUGUUUUUUCACGACAUAUUUCUCUUGGGACAGUGCAAAGGCUACGAUUCAUGGAAAUUCUUUCCUGAAGAAACUGGCACACCUAUUUGGGGCAUCCAUUCAUGCUUCAGAGUCUAAAGACAAGUCUACUGGUGUGCAUCAUGGUGGAGCCACUCAGAGGGCAUCAGCCCUAGCAGCACUAUCAUCUGCAUUUAAUCCGUCUUUAAACAAUAAAACCACGGCACCAAAGCCAUCACGAUCAAGCCAAGGAUCACAACGAGCAGCUGCAGUUGCUGCAUUGUCAUCUGUUUUAGCUACUGAACAAAAGAAGGGAGAAUCAGAGACCUCUACAAGAAGAUUUAGCAGAAGCCCUUCCCCUGUUCCUGUUGGGACCAUAAAUGAGUCUGCAAAGACUGAAAGUGCAGGCUCGGAGUCGGGGGAUUCACUUGAGAUUUCAGCUGAGAAGGAAACCACAGAAGGGAAUGGCAUUUUAUCAGAUAGCAAUGGUGCAGAUUCAGAUGUGGCAACAAAUCCCCAAAUAGAUGAGAAUGGGGGUGAAUGUACAUUCACUUAUGAACGUUUGAAAGCCAAGUCCAGCAAUCCUGUCAGUGGAAUCGACUACAAACGCAGAGAGGCCUACUUAUCUGAUGCUGAGUUCCAGACGACUCUGGGUAUGACUAAAGAGGCAUUCUAUCGGCAACCCAAAUGGAAACAGGAUAUGCAGAAACGGAAGGUGGAUCUCUUCUAAGAAUGUGCCUUCUGGAGUCAAGGGACCUUUUACGGCUCGCUCUACAUUGUACCUUCACUAUCUGCUUGCUUUGGAUCCUUUCAGGUAUUUGGUUGUUUGAUGAUCUGGAGACACAUUAUGAGUGGUACAAGCUUUGCUGCUAUUUGUUGACUGAGAGAUAGAUGUAUGUUUGUCGUGGGUGGGUGGGUUUGGGAGUUGUUGGUUAUUCUUUUACUUGUAGCAGUCUCCAAUCCAAUUCAUAUAAUUUGGUUGCUUAGCUCAGUUCUGUAAAGAUCCAUAUGUACAUGUAAUGUGUUGGAUACAUAUGUGUUAUCCACACUGUAUCGUGGAUGUCAAAACACACUGUUCAAAACUCUCGUUGGUCGUGGAAGCUGUAGGCAGUGGUAAAAAGACAGCGUUUUCUGUUUUUGUAAAUUAUGACAAUUGAUUAAAAAUUAUGACAAUUUUUUUUUUAAA